GCGUUGGUGGUGUAAUGGCGUACAGCAUUCCCGCCCAGUCAGCAGGAGGUGCGGGUUCGAAUCCCGCCUGGCGCU
rnacentral:tRNA from 1 species